UCGCGCAACGCUGCCGGCCUUGGCAUGUCAGCUGAUGAGUGCUUACAGUGAGUUGCUAGUCGUCCGUUUGAGUGAAAAAGUUGUACAUCAUCAAUCGUCAACUUAUCAUCAACGUAAGCUUGCACCUUCAGCUGAUGAGAUGAUCAAUCUUUAGUAUCAACUUCACGAUCUAAUUGAUACUUGGAGCAAAUUUAUCUUAUAGGGGGAGCCACUUACCCCCGAAAUAUGGGUCACAUCCUGGCGGGGGCACCCAGACCAUGCUUAUCCUCCUACGGCCUUUAAAUUGUACGAUUUCUUUCUAAUUAUCGUUUGGUCGAAACGGCGAAAAUUUAAUACAAAUUGGAAGAGAGAAGCGAAAACCUCGUGCGUUCAGAGCUGAUAACGA